CAGGGAAUCUUGCACAAUGCGCGCAAGCUUGAUGCAGCGAUGCCGCGUGAGGGAUGAAGGCCCUCGGGUCGUAAACCUCUUUCAGUAGGGAAGAAGCCACGGGACACCGUGGUGACGGUACCUGCAGAAGAAGCCCCGGCUAACUACGUGCCAGCAGCCGCGGUAAAACGUAGGGGGCGAGCGUUGCCCGGAUUCACUGGGCGUAAAGCGGGUGUAGGCGGUCUCUUAAGUCGGAUGUGAAAUCCUGCGGCCUAACCGCGGAACUGCAUCCGAUACUGGGAGACUUGAGGACGGUAGAGGCCGGUGGAAUUCCCGGUGUACCGGUGAAAUGGACAGAUAUCGGGAGGAACACCAGUGGCGAAGGCGGCCGGCUGGGCCGAUCCUGACGCUGAGACCCGAAAGCCAGGGUAGCGAACCG
rnacentral:rRNA from 1 species